GAGAGCCAUCCUCUAGUUAAAGGCAUUGUGUCUCCAGGAGGCCCGGGUUACAGGGCAGCCACCCAUAGGCAACGCCACACAUUUAACCCAUAAUUGCCCAUCAGCCCAGAACCUGGCUGCAGAGAAAAGCUACCAGCUGUUGGUAACCGAACACUGCCUUGCUAAGAGAAGCUUUUUGACAGCCUCUUCACAUAAGUGGGGGAAAUGGGUGCCGCAAAGCUCUGGAUCAGGAGUGUAAUGGCUUCCAUGGGAGCGGCCAAAUUGCUGCAGUGAUGGCAUCUCAGCUUUCUCCUCCCAGGGCAUGGGCCAGUUAGACUUCGGAUACUGAGAGGAAUGUGGAAAUGCAAAUGGCACCAAGGAAGUGCACAUAAGUUCAUGGAUGAUGGAUCCAAUGUGGAAUCAGGGAACGCUUGGGUCACACCCUUAACCAGGCCUUAUCUCUGAGGGAAGAAGACAACUGCCUAUCCAGCUUGAGCUGAUGUCCUCCAACAUCCUGUCACUGGAUUACAGAUGACACAAAGGUUUUCCUAUUGGAUAAAGUUUGUACUGAGUCUUCAGCUGGUGAGAGGAUGAGGAGACAUAUCAAGUCAUUACCCUCAUGGAGUUUACAAAUAAAUAAACAUAUAAUAUGUCGGACUGGAUGAGUCGAUUCUGGGAGUGAGAGCAGAUAAAGAAAAAGCAUGAGGACUAAAGCUCAGGGCCUUCACUAUUUGGAAUUCUGGGAGAUGAGAAGGAAUCAGAAGAGAAUGCUGAGAAGGGCCGACCUGGGAAGAUGAUGGAGACUGAAGAGGAAACGGCAUCCUGGGUACGAAGUGAAUAAAUGUUUCAAAAAGGUGGGACUAAUCAGCCAUGCCACAUGAUUCCGAUCAGAAGACUGAGAACUGACCAUUGGAUCUAGCAAAUGGAGAUUACUAGCGACUUUGACAGGAGCUGUUUAGGGGGAGUAUUGGAUUUGAGAGAAAACAGGAAAGGAGGAGAUGAAGAGAGAGUAGAGACAACUCUGUGAAUUUUGCUAUGAAAAGUAACAGAGAAACCGAGAGGAAGUAUGAAGUGAAGGCAGACAUUUUAAAAGAUGGGUAAUAUUUAGCAUAGUGGUAUACUGAUGAGAAUUAUCUCAUCAAGUGGGAAAAUUUAUGUAAGAGGUGGAGUUCAAUUGCUGGAAUGAUUUCCUUAAACAGAUAAGAGAGGGUAGAAUUUGGAGAAGUGGAAGGGUUUGUCUUAGAAAGGAGUACAGACAAUUCAUAUACAGUAAGAGC
rnacentral:lncRNA from 1 species